AUUGAACGCUGGCGGCAUGCCUUACACAUGCAAGUCGAACGGCAGCACGGGGGCAACCCUGGUGGCGAGUGGCGAACGGGUGAGUAACAUAUCGGAACAUACCCUAGAGUGGGGAUAACGUAGCGAAAGUUACGCUAAUACCGCAUACGAUCUAAGGAUGAAAGUGGGGGAUCUUCGGACCUCAUGCUCAUGGAGUGGCCGAUAUCUGAUUAGCUAGUUGGUGAGGUAAAGGCUCACCAAGGCGACGAUCAGUAGCUGGUUUGAGAGAACGACCAGCCACACUGGAACUGAGACACGGUCCAGACUCCUACGGGAGGCAGCAGUGGGGAAUUUUGGACAAUGGGGGCAACCCUGAUCCAGCAAUGCCGCGUGAGUGAAGAAGGCCUUCGG
rnacentral:rRNA from 1 species